rnacentral:rRNA from 1 species
UACGUAGGGGGCAAGCGUUGUCCGGAUUUAUUGGGCGUAAAGAGCGUGUAGGCGGCCAAGCAGGUCCGCUGUGAAAACUCGAGGCUCAACCUCGAGACGUCGGUGGAAACCGUUUGGCUAGAGUCCGGAAGAGGAGAGUGGAAUUCCCGGUGUAGCGGUGAAAUGCGCAGAUAUCGGGAAGAACACCCGUGGCGAAGGCGGCUCUCUGGGGCGGUACUGACGCUGAGACGCGAAAGCGUGGGGAGCGAACAGG